GACUUGGUUUGCUGAACUCACUUAGGAGCCAGGAGGAAACACUGCCAGGAAAAGGCACUGGGUCAGUGUGCCAGCCAAAGGCAGCCCAACUUAGGUGAGUCUCGAGAGCAUUUCCCGAGCUUCUUUGAUCUGAGACCAUGGGCUUGUACAAUACUUGACAUUCUUUACAAUAUAAAGAACACUGGACUAAGAGUUAGGAGAGCUGGCUGGGGCUCAUGCCCCAGCUGCCAAUGACUUACGUGACCUUGGGGAACUCUCUUCACUUCUCCAGCCUUUAGUUUCUUCUUCUAUAAAAUACGGGGAUUACCAACACACUUUCAGUUCUGGCAUCCUGAUUCUGAAAUAUAUGCACUGCCUUCCUUGCCCUUAAAAUAGAAUUUAUUUCAAAAGCAGAUGGCCCAGGCACUGGAAAAUGGUUCCUGGCAGUCUCACGAUUCCUUUCAAGGAUGUACCUUCAGAGUUGUAUUUAUAAAUCCCUUGAAGAUCAGUGGACCCUUGGCUAAAGCCCAAGUCAAGCUGUGCUAAUGAAAUUAAAUAAAUUUCAAAAAAUGAAAAGGACUAUAAAAUUAAAAGAGUUAAUUUCAGGCAACCUCUAAAAGUGCCAAAAAAAUACUUUCAGAAAGUUUACGCUGUUUCCUCUUUUACCCAACCCCUUGAUACUUUCAGACUCGUAACUUGCCUGGUAUUAUUUAUCUCCCCCAACAACUUGCCAGGUAAGCAGUAUAUUGACUAUCUUUUACAAAUGGGAAAGCAGACACAAUGGUAGUCAUUAAUUUGGGCCCACAACAUGGAGUAAGAGGAGCAAAACUGAGGUUGGAAGCCAAGGUUCAAGACUCCAGGUCCAGAGUUGUGUGCUUCAUACCAGACACAGCAGAGUGCAGCACCAGCAACUGUACUCAGAUGAGUGGGCAGAAGGUGCGGAAUCCAAGGUCGCCCUUCUCCUCUGAAACAGGCAUUCCCACGUAGGGAGGAGGCUGAGACUGAAUGAGUACCUCAAAUCCGUCCUACACCACUAGAGACCAAAUAAGCAUCCCGAUUCCCAGUUCUGCCUCGGCGAGUCCACUCAGUAUGACCUUUCCACCCGAAGUCUCAGGCUUUGCGAUGGUACCCGUGGUCUCACCCCACUUGCAUUUUCAGUUUAUCUACUUCCCCAAACUCCCAUGGGAACAGAGAAACAAGAGACACACAGAAAAGGAAAUGCAUUUGUUGUACAAUAGGGUGGUGCGGUGAAGGAUGCACCCAGCUGAGAUGCUGUAAGAAAAGGAAGUCUCUGUUCCUGGGACUGAUGAGGCAAACUGGCUAGAAUGGUCUGGGGGCUUCAGUUGUCAGUACCUGGAACUGGCUUGAGACGUUACCUUAUAUACCUAUUCUCAGAGAGGUGUGUGCCCUGAUCUCCCAAAGCCAGGCCUUCAAGCAGGGCAUGGGAAAAGUGUAAUUGACAGGCAGCCCAGAUGCAGUCAGCCCUGGCAUGUGACAGCUGAACAGAACCAACAGCUAAGCUCGGCUGGUUUAUCUUACCUAGGUGCUGGGCCACCCUCACCUCAAACUUUUCUUUUCUUUUUUUUUCUUGAGUACCAAUUGGAAGAUAACCAGAGUCGGAAAUGUGGUAAGGAGAGAGCUCAAAGCAGGCUCCACUGCCCAGUGUCAGGAGAAUCGCCACACGUUUUAUUUCUGAUGCAGAAAAGAAAAUGGAUUCUACCGAGGAAAUCAUUUCCCUGCCUUUCCAAGGGGCAAAAAAAAAAGAAAAAAAAAAUGGAAACGGAAAAUCUGACUUACAAAUCCUGCACAGUGUUCACAGAAGGUCGGCUUGAGAUAAUUCAUCUCCUGAAAAUUAUGGAUAAAUCCUGGUCCCAUUUUGCAGUGUAGCUGGGAUUUAGCUCGCAGAAAAUAGGCCAUCAUUUCAUCUUUGCUAAUUAGGCCAUCCCUGUUAGGAAAGUCAAAGAAGAGAAGAAUCUGUGAAUACCAUAUCACUAAGUAACUGCGACUCUCUGGUACCCACCUCCCAAGCAUUUGUGACCAAAAGCAAAAGAGAGAUGUUCACUUUUCUUAAACAUUCAAAAGGAGGAUGAGUCUCCAAAGACACAUCAAAUAUUCAAAACCUUCUUCAAUAAGUAGAUGCUGUGUGUGCGUGCGUGUGUGUGUGUGUGCGCGCGCGCGCGUGCAUGUGUGUGACAGCUCUCAGACAGUCUCCUGAGAUUGCUAGAGGCAGGAUCGCCAUUUCACACUGAGGUAGAGCUAAGAGUGACUGGCCAUUUUGCUUUUUUGACCUUCAGGUUGAACCCCAAUAUCUGCCUCAGGUUUUUAUUAGUUGUGUUACAACUAGCAAUAAGGUUGAAAUUGCUGCUUUCACUUUCAACUUCAUUCAGCCCAAUUCAUUGCAGGCUGUUCCCCCAGGGACCUUUGCAUCUGUGUCCUCCAGAUCCACGGCUUAUCUAGAGCAAACUCUGCAGAUCUCAUCUCCACAGAAGGACUCCCCUCCUCCACCUAUGUACUCUCUGCUUGUCACAUACCUUGCUUGCUGUCACUGGUCUUUCAGUAAGGGAUGGAACACAAGUGACACAGGCAAGUGCCAAGUACAGAGGUCUCGCCUUUCCUGCCCUGCUCAGGCUCCCCUUAUCCUUCCUCUCUUGGCUCUUCCUAUGGCAUCAGAAGGACUGCUCCCAUCCCUGCUCUCCAGGCUCCACGGACCUCUGCUCUCUCCCAGGCUCUGACCAAUCUUCUCACCCAUUUCUUCGGUUUACAGAGAAGUCCAAUGCUUCCCUUCUCCUCUAAUCUCAUUCCUUGCGGCAGCUGUCUUCCCCAACACCAGUCUUUCUCUCUUACCAACUCCCCAAAACAUCACUCAUUAGCAUUUUCUGUCACCAUGCUACAGCACCAGUCAAGUUUCUCCCACUGCCAUCCCACUAAACUGUCACUAAGGACAAUCCUCAGUGGUCUUCUCUUGUUUUUUGAAAACUCUGACCUCACGACGGUGUGUGACACAGGGGCAUUUAUUUGUUGACAUCUUCUCUCUGGAGCCUGCACUUCUGAGCCUUGUUGCUUUACUCUUUCCUCUCCUGCUUCCCCUUCUCUGUCUUUUCUGCAGAAUUCCACUUGUUACUUUCAUUGUCUAUGAGUGGGAAGGGAAGUCCACAUAUUUCCUUCUGGAGACCCGAUCUCGUCCCCCCACCCACCAAAUUUCCCACCAGAAAAAAAAUAGUGCACUGAGGUUCCAGCAACCUGAUAGUGUUGUGGGGCUGAAAACGCAGUGUUCACCUCCAACCCUGGCUGCUCUCACACAUUUCAAACUGCAUCUUCAAUAACUGGCUACACGUCUCUCCCCGUACACACCCCUCCAAAUCAGCAUAGCCUGCCAAAGUCCCUGUCUGACCUCUCCAACUCACAUGACCACAGGUUCCCCUGUUGCCAUGAAUGGUGUGUCAUAAUUGUACCCCAGACUUAAGGUCCUUUUUGUCAUCUCAUAUGCAAAAUAACCUGAAUCAUACUUAGAAUUCAUAAAAUUCAUUCAUUUAGUAUCUUUCCCAUCCUUGAAAACAUGUAUCAUACAAUUUGUACAGACUUAUGCAUCAAUCACAAACAGACACAAAAGUCUAAUUUGGACUACAUUCAUUUAGGAAGACGUGUGUGUGUGUGUGUGUGUGUGUGUGUGUGUGUGUGUGUGUGUGUAUACACACACAGAGAUGUAGAAUCACUGAAUCAUACAUGCCCCAGGGAUCCACUUACUAUACUGUAGGGCAACUGGAGUUUAACCACCAGGAAGUAACCUGGCUCAGGUCCUUUCCUGGCUCAAGAGACAGAGCAAGCAGGAGCUUGCUGAGAGCAAGCAUCCAUCUAUCCCAUCUUACAUUAUAUAGCUCUCCUGAUAAAAGGUUGGCCCUGGCACUGGAGCUUCCAGUUUCCCACAGCUGUGAUACAAAGCACUCAAAGAUCAAAGGGCUGAAAAAACUUCUGUGCCUGUCUACCAUGCAUUCUCUCACAUGCUAGGAAUUCCAGGAACCAAGAUGUAUGCAGAACCACAAGAUGGAGGGAGUUUACCCUGUGAGUUACUAGAAAGAGGAAUGUUGGCUAGUCAGUAGGAAUGCUGGACUUAAAUAAGUGGAAAAUUCUACACAGCAGUUCUUCACCUUGACCUUUAUCCUUUAGUAAUUUUCUUUAUUUUGAGACGUGGUCUCACUGAUCAAGUUGUCUAGGCUGAUGUUGAAUACUUUCUCUGUGGACCCAAGCAGGCCCCAAGUUUGUGAUCCUCCUGCCUCAGCCGGCCAAGUAGCCUGAGCUACAGGCAUCUGCCCUCAGGUUGGUCAUUUCUAUUUCUCUUGACGGGGGUUUUGGAGUUGGUAGCAAAGCAGUAGAAGUAUUUACAGAAACUGAGAGCUGGUUCAUUUCCAGACAGGCACUUAUGCUUAAGAGAGAUGUGGUUUGCCUUGUGACAGUGCCCAAAAGGUUAGGUUUAG